GGGCCGGUGCUCGAGCGGUUAAAGGGGGUGGAUUGUAAAUCCAUUGGUGUAAAUCUUCAUAGGUUCAAAUCCUAUUCGGCCCA
rnacentral:tRNA from 1 species